AUUGAACGCUGGCGGAAUGCUUUACACAUGCAAGUCGAACGAUGAAGCCUAGCUUGCUAGGUCGAUUAGUGGCGAACGGGUGAGUAAUAUAUCGGAACGUAUCCAAUAAUGGGGGAUAACUAGUCGAAAGAUUGGCUAAUACCGCAUACGUCCUACGGGAGAAAGCAGGGGAUCGUAAGACCUGGCGUUAAUGGAGCGGCCGAUAUCUGAUUAGCGAGUUGGGGAGGUAAAGGCUCACCAAGGCGACGAUCAGUAGCUGGUCUGAGAGGACGACCAGCCACACUGGAACUGAGACACGGUCCAGACUCCUACGGGAGGCAGCAGUGGGGAAUUUUGGACAAUGGGCGAAAGCCUGAUCCAGCCAUUCCGCGUGAGUGAAGAAGGCCUUCGGGUUGUAAAGCUCUUUCGCAAGGGAAGAACACUUACUUAAUAACACUAAGUGAGGUUGACGGUACCUUGAUAAGAAGCACCGGCUAACUACGUGCCAGCAGCCGCAGUAA
rnacentral:rRNA from 1 species